GCAUUGAUAGCUUACCUAGAGCAUAGCACUGAAGAUGCUAAGGCGGCACUUAUGUGCCUCAAAGCA
rnacentral:tRNA from 1 species